rnacentral:rRNA from 1 species
GACGAACGCUGGCGGCGUGCUUAACACAUGCAAGUCGAACGGAAAGGCCCUGCUUUUGUGGGGUGCUCGAGUGGGGAACGGGUGAGUAACACGUGAGUAACCUGCCCUUGACUUUGGGAUAACUUCAGGCAAGUGCGGAUAAUACCGGAGAGGUGCUCCUGCUGCAGGGGGGGGGUUGGAAAGUUUAGGCGGUGGGGGAUGGACUCGCGGCUUAUCAGCUGGUUGGUGGGGUAGCUGCUUACCAAGGCUUUGACGGGUAGCCGGCCUGAGAGGGUGAACGGCCACAUUGGGACUGCGGUACGGACCAGUCUCCUACGGUAGGCAGCAGUGGGGAAUAUUGCACAGUGGGCGGAAGCGUGAUGCAGCAACGCCGCGUGCGGGAUGCCGGCCUUCUUGCUGUGAACCGCUUUCGCCUGAGACGUAGCGUGAGUGACGGUACUGGGUAAAGAAGCACCGGCUAACUACGUG